ACGGAACUAAUUAAUAGAUUAAGCGAAUAAAUUUAUAUUCAAAUAAUUGCAUUUUACAAAUCUACAAAUAUACAAUAUAGAAAGAAUUUUGAAAAUUAAUGAUUUUACAUUAACAAUAAAUCUACAGCAUACAUCAGUGGUAAAAGUAUCAAAUGAGCAGAAAUGGCUGAUAGAAACUUGAGAGAGAGCAAUAUAGCAGCAUAUACUCACAAAUCUUUGUAAUUUGAUAAUCGUGUGAUGAUUGAUGGGAUUGGAGACUCAAUUCAUCGAUAAGUAGAAAAAGAACAGGAGGAGCCAAGGAGUAUUGACCAUUUUAAAUGGGGACUGAGAAGUGAUAGAUAAAAGAGUUAGGGUGGGAGACGAUUGAUCGAAAUGGGUAGAGAUAAUAUCUGGUUGAAAGAAAGAAAAAGGAGAAGAAGAACAAGAAAGUUGGAGGCUUCAGUGGGGAAUCUAUGGUGAAGAAAGGAAGAGAAAAAGAAGAAGAAUGCCUUUGGUGGGAGCAUUAUGGCCAAAAGUAAGAAAGAAGGAGGCUGUUAUUGCAGCCGUUUUAGAUAUGUCUUUAAGGCUAGAGUUUAAUUGAGA
rnacentral:lncRNA from 1 species